rnacentral:rRNA from 1 species
AUUGAACGCUGGCGGCAUGGCUAAAACAUGCAAGUCGAACGCACCCGCAAGGGUGAGUGGCGAAAGGGUCAGUAAUACGAUCGAACGUGCCCUGAGGUGGGGGAGUAGGCAUGGGAAACGUAGUGCGUAAUACCCCACUGAUGUCUACGGACCAAAGUUUUAAACGUCCUUUGGUAGCGGCGGAUCGUCCUAUCAGGUAGUUGGCGGGGUAAGUGGCCCACCCAAGCCGAAGACGGGUAGCGGGUGUGAGAGCACGGCCCGCGACAUCGGAACUGAGACACUGUCCGGACUCCUACGGGAGGCUGCAGUAACGAAUCUUCCGCAAUGGGCGAAAGCCUGACGGAGCAAUGCCGCGUGUGGGAUGAAGCGGCUUCGCCGUGUAAACCACUGUCAGGGGGCGAGAACCAAUGAUCGCCCCCACGAGGAAGAGCCGG